UUUAACUGAAGAGUUUGAUCAUGGCUCAGAUUGAACGCUGGCGGCAGGCUUAACACAUGCAAGUCGAGCGGGGGAAGGUAGCUUGCUACUGGACCUAGCGGCGGACGGGUGAGU
rnacentral:rRNA from 1 species